CCACUUCGGUGGGGAUUAGUGGCGAACGGGUGAGUAACACGUGGGCAAUCUGCCCUUCACUCUGGGACAAGCCCUGGAAACGGGGUCUAAUACCGGAUAACACUUCUGCUCUCAUGGGCAGGGGUUAAAAGCUCCGGCGGUGAAGGAUGAGCCCGCGGCCUAUCAGCUUGUUGGUGAGGUAAUGGCUCACCAAGGCGACGACGGGUAGCCGGCCUGAGAGGGCGACCGGCCACACUGGGACUGAGACACGGCCCAGACUCCUACGGGAGGCAGCAGUGGGGAAUAUUGCACAAUGGGCGAAAGCCUGAUGCAGCGACGCCGCGUGAGGGAUGACGGCCUUCGGGUUGUAAACCUCUUUCAGCAGGGAAGAAGCGAAAGUGACGGUACCUGCAGAAGAAGCGCCGGCUAACUACGUGCCAGCAGCCGCGGUAAUACGUAGGGCGCAAGCGUUGUCCGGAAUUAUUGGGCGUAAAGAGCUCGUAGGCGGCUUGUCACGUCGGGUGUGAAAGCCCGGGGCUUAACCCCGGGUCUGCAUUCGAUACGGGCUAGCUAGAGUGUG
rnacentral:rRNA from 1 species